GCUGUUUUUAAUUAUUUUGGGGUCCCCUGUUUCCCUUUUCCAGAGGCACGAAUUUUGCGAAAUCCCUCCGCCCUACUCAUCAGGGAACUGGAACAGCCUGUAAAUGAUUGACACACUGCCAUCUUGCAAGUGCUGAAGGUGGAUGUAUCUCAAGAAUCCUGCUUUUGCAACUCAAAGGAAAAGCUUUCAGCUUGCAUCUAAAACUAUGUUAAAGGAGACAUUUCUCUUUAAUUCCUGCAGUUACCUUAGAUGUGAGACUUUAAUCAGGAGCCUGCAAAGUCAGUGCAGUAACUUUCAUAUGGCAGAAGAGUCCUCAAUGCUCAGAAAGGUAAUAACAGAUCUUGUAAUGCCCACACUUACUAUCAGUGGUGUGAAAGAACUUGGCUGGGGAGCUGUAGCAUGGAUGAAGUGUCCUGAGAUGUCUGAUUGCAAUAAUGGCUCCAGGUGACAGUUAACAGCUGGUACAAGUUAAAGAAAUGUUCAUGCUGCUGAAUCAUCUGCUUGCAUCACAGUGGUGUAGCAGAGCCUGCUCUUUCAGUUGCAUUAGGUCUUACUGCUGUUAAUUAAUUUUUUCUCACUUGAGCAAGAUAACAGACUACUGUGUUCCUGAGUCUGCAGACAGUUUCAUUCACUUGAUCACAGGGAUGAACUUUUGCAUUAAAAACAGUAUUAAUAAUAAAUUGACAGGUGACAUCUGUUUCA
rnacentral:lncRNA from 1 species